rfam:Neotoma lepida isolate 417 scaffold_250, whole genome shotgun sequence.
GUGUAGCUCAGUGGAAGAGCACUUGCCUAGCAUUCAAGAGGUCAUGGGUUCAAUUUCCAAUAC